rnacentral:rRNA from 1 species
AUUGAACGCUGGCGGCAGGCCUAACACAUGCAAGUCGAAUGGUAACAGGAAACAGCUUGCUGUUUCGCUGACGAGUGGCGGACGGGUGAGUAAUGUCUGGGAAACUGCCUGAUGGAGGGGGAUAACUACUGGAAACGGUAGCUAAUACCGCAUAACGUCGCAAGACCAAAGAGGGGGACCUUCGGGCCUCUUGCCAUCAGAUGUGCCCAGAUGGGAUUAGCUAGUAGGUGGGGUAACGGCUCACCUAGGCGACGAUCCCUAGCUGGUCUGAGAGGAUGACCAGCCACACUGGAACUGAGACACGGUCCAGACUCCUACGGGAGGCAGCAGUGGGGAAUAUUGCACAAUGGGCGCAAGCCUGAUGCAGCCAUGCCGCGUGUAUGAAGAAGGCCUUCGGGUUGUAAAGUACUUUCAGCGGGGAGGAAGGGAGUAAAGUUAAUACCUUUGCUCAUUGACGUUACCCGCAGAAGAAGCACCGGCUAACUCCGUGCCAGCAGCCGCGGUAAUACGGAGGGUGCAAGCGUUAAUCGGAAUUACUGGGCGUAAAGCGCACGCAGGCGGUUUGUUAAGUCAGAUGUGAAAUCCCCGGGCUCAACCUGGGAACUGCAUCUGAUACUGGCAAGCUUGAGUCUCGUAGAGGGGGGUAGAAUUCCAGGUGUAGCGGUGAAAUGCGUAGAGAUCUGGAGGAAUACC